GCAGCAGCGCAGCCGCAAUAACAGCAGCAGAAGAAGAAGAAGCCACUGGCAGCUGCGGCCUCAGCAGAAAUGGGCGCCGGUGCGACUCCCGUGACUGAGUUCGAAGAAGACCUGAAGAAGCCUAAAGGAGCUUCGGUGUCGUUACCGAAACACUCCUACUGGUUUGACUUCUGGGUCUUCGUGCUCUUCGACAUCGCCUUCUUCCUCGUCAUGUACUUCGUGGUGCCGUAAGCAGGUUGUCUCUUGGACUUUGGAGCAUGAAGACAUGAAGCGCUGGUCCUGGCCUACUGUAUGAAAUCUAACCCAGCUUUGACUGAAUCUAACACCACGUUACUGAAUGUCUCAUCUCAAGUAUCCACGGCUUGGACCAAACAAGUUCAUGGCAUUCUGCCCUAAUAUCAAAGAUCUGAACCACAGACCUGCCUCCCACUGGGACCUGCAGCUCGUCACACAAGACUGUCUUUCUGCAUGGAUGGAUUCUUGAGGAAGAACAAAAGUCUGAAGUAUUUGUACUGUUGGAAAGUUUCAAUGGCGUCAACAGGAUUUCUGAAAUGUAGCGAAUGUAAAAUCACAAAGGCGCUGUUGUAAGUGAAUGUUACCCAGACCUGAUCUGCUUCGUCUUUUUGAUAAGCAGUCACUGAUAAUUUUUAACUAUAUUGCUUUUAUUUUAAAUGUUUUAGCUUUAUCUCCAAUUCUCCUGUUGACCUGAUCAGCAGCCAAACACUGGAGAGUCUCACGUCUGGAAAUGUGUGUUUUUAAUAAGCUGUCUGAUGAGUUGGUUGUGGGACCAGUGAAGACACAUAACAUUCAUGAUUGUACUUGCACAACAUAAAGAACAACGCGUGGCUGUGAAGCAGUUCCAGCACACUGGAGUCAGUUUGCACAUGGAGCAAAUAAAGUGUUUUGACUAAAUGCUGA